GGCAUGCUUAACACAUGCAAGUCGAACGGCAGCAUGACCUAGCUUGCUAGGUUGAUGGCGAGUGGCGGACGGGUGAGUAACGCGUGGGGAUAUGCCUCAAAGUGGGGGACAACCCGGGGGAAAUUCGGGCUAAUACCGCAUACGCUCUAAGGAGGAAAGCUAGGGACCAUUAGGCCUGGCGCUUUGAGAUUAACCUGCGUCCGAUUAGCUAGUUGGUGGGGUAACUGCCUACCAAGGCGACGAUCGGUAGCUGGUCUGAGAGGAUGAUCAGCCACACUGGGACUGAGACACGGCCCAGACUCCUACGGGAGGCAGCAGUGGGGAAUAUUGGACAAUGGGGGCAACCCUGAUCCAGCAAUGCCGCGUGUGUGAAGAAGGCCUGCGGGUUGUAAAGCACUUUCAGUAGGGAGGAGGAUUACUAGGUUAAGAGCUGAGUAAUUGGACGUUACCUACAGAAGCAGCACCGGCUAACUCCGUG
rnacentral:rRNA from 1 species